AGCCAGCAGGGCUCUGCUCAUGAUGCUUUCUAAAGGACACUGAGGGUAGAGGAGAGCUUUCUGCUUCUUCAUCUCCGUAUCCUGCUCCUGGGAAUGCUAUGUUAUGGAUUUUUUCUGAGCCAGCUUGGAUGACUGGUUUCCUCUCAAGCCGUGUUUGUUGAGCUCCUCAGCUUUCAGAUCCCUCUUCCUGGGAAGGAUUUGGUUAUAAGGAAGAUGGUGGGACUUCAGGCCAUGAAAAGUAAUUGAGCUUUGAGAUCUUUCCUCUGUCCAUGAACUGAGUUUGUGCGAGUCCAGCACAUUAGCUCUGCUGCCUUUGAGUGAGGCUGGUUGAUACCAGCUGAUUAACUGUAAUUGGCAGUGAAACA
rnacentral:lncRNA from 1 species